GACGAACGCUGGCGGCGUGCCUAAUACAUGCAAGUAGAACGCUGAAGGAGGAGCUUGCUUCUCUGGAUGAGUUGCGAACGGGUGAGUAACGCGUAGGUAACCUGCCUGGUAGCGGGGGAUAACUAUUGGAAACGAUAGCUAAUACCGCAUAAGAGUAGAUGUCGCAUGACAUUUGCUUAAAAGGUGCAAUUGCAUCACUACCAGAUGGACCUGCGUUGUAUUAGCUAGUUGGUGAGGUAACGGCUCACCAAGGCAACGAUACAUAGCCGACCUGAGAGGGUGAUCGGCCACACUGGGACUGAGACACGGCCCAGACUCCUACGGGAGGCAGCAGUAGGGAAUCUUCGGCAAUGGACGGAAGUCUGACCGAGCAACGCCGCGUGAGUGAAGAAGGUUUUCGGAUCGUAAAGCUCUGUUGUAAGAGAAGAACGAGUGUGAGAGUGGAAAGUUCACACUGUGACGGUAGCUCACCAGAAAGGGACGGCUAACUACGUG
rnacentral:rRNA from 1 species